rnacentral:miRNA from 1 species
AUUUGAGUUUCAGAGAAACAAUGAACAGUAUUUUAGUGUAAGUAUGUUCCAUGCAGUAUUUGAGACAUACUUAUACUUAAGCUAUUGUUUAUCUGAAAUUCAAAAGUACCU